GGGCGGGUGGCGGAACGGCAGACGCGGACGGUUCAGGUCCGCGUGUUCGAAAGGACGUGAGGGUUCAAAUCCCUCCUCGCCCACCC
rnacentral:tRNA from 1 species